rnacentral:lncRNA from 1 species
CAAGGCGAUAAAAGCGGGGUAACCAAUUGACAGGGAAAAUGUAUACCUGCAGAAACGAUGGAACAUUUACGUUUUGGAAGCCUUCUGUGGAUUUAUAUUUGUUCGUGGUUGCAAGAACAAAUGUUUUUUUCGAUGUUUAGUAAUUGACACUUUGUUGCAACAUUGACUAAAAUUGAAAAACCUUUGGUUAUUUAAAAAGUUUAAUAUUACUGAUUUCCUCUACACGCGAAGGGAACAACAAUCCCUGGUACAUCAUUUAUAGAGUGUGCACAUGAAUGUAAACAGAAAAAACUGCACAAAUAUUACAUCUUACCUCUGCCAUUAGUACAUUAUUCAGACUUUAACCAACCAACAAUUUCAAUACCAUAUAAU